rnacentral:rRNA from 1 species
UACGGGGGGGGCAAGCGUUGUUCGGAAUUACUGGGCGUAAAGGGCUCGUAGGCGGCCAACUAAGUCGGACGUGAAAUCCCUCGGCUUAACCGGGGAACUGCGUCCGAUACUGGAUGGCUCGAGUUUGGGAGAGGGAUGCGGAAUUCCAGGUGUAGCGGUGAAAUGCGUAGAUAUCUGGAGGAACACCGGUGGCGAAGGCGGCAUCCUGGACCAACACUGACGCUGAUGAGCGAAAGCCAGGGGAGCAAACGGG